UGCAAGUCGCACGAGAACUCUUUUGCUUGCAGAAGAUAGUAAAGUGGCGCACGGGUGAGUAACGCGUGGGUAAUCUACCUCCGAAUUGGGGAUAACCCCGCGAAAGCGGGGCUAAUACCAGAUAAUAUCUUUUAUAUUUCGGCAUUAAAGAUCAAAGGUGGUCUCUACAUGUAAGCUACUGUUUGGAGAUGAGCCCGCGUGCCAUUAGCUUGUUGGUAGGGUAAUGGCCUACCAAGGCUACGAUGGCUAGCUGGUCUGAGAGGAUGAUCAGCCACACUGGAACUGACACACGGUCCAGACUCCUACGGGAGGCAGCAGUGAGGAAUUUUGCGCAAUGGGGGAAACCCUGACGCAGCAACGCCGCGUGAGUGAUGAAGGCUUUCGGGUCGUAAAGCUCUGUCAAGUGGGAAGAACACGCUCGAUGUUAAUGCCAUCGUGCACUGACGGUACCACUGAAGGAAGCACCGGCUAACUCCGUGCCAGCAGCCGCGGUAAUACGGGGGGUGCAAGCGUUAUUCGGAAUUAUUGGGCGUAAAGGGCGCGCAGGCGGUCUCUUAAGUCAGAUGUGAAAGCCCGGGGCUUAACUCCGGAAGUGCAUUUGAAACUAAAGGGACUUGAGUAUGGGAGAGGGAAGUGGAAAUUCCUGGUGUAGAGGUGAAAUUCGUAGAUAUCAGGAGGAACACCGGUGGCGAAGGCGACUUCCUGG
rnacentral:rRNA from 1 species